UGCGAGACGGACAGGUCGAGCAGGUACGAAAGUAGUCGAUAGUGAUCCGGUGUUCGUGAAUGGAAGGCCGAUCGCUCAACGGAUAAAAGGUACUCGGGGGAUACAGGCUGAUACCGCCCAAGAGUUCAUAUCGACGCGGUGUUUGGCACUCGAUGUCGGCUCAUCACAUCCUGGGGCUGAAGUCGGUCCCAAGGGUAUGGCUGUUCGCCAUUUAAAGUGGUACGCGAGCUGGGUUCAGAACGUCGUGAGACAGUUCGGUCCCUAUCUGCCGUGGGCGUUGGAUGAUUGAAGGGAGUUGCUCCUAGUACGAGAGGACCGGAGUGAACGAACCUCUGGUGUUCGGGUUGUCACGCCAGUGGCACUGCCCGGUAGCUAAGUUCGGAAUCGAUAACCGCUGAAAGCAUCUAAGCGGGAAGCGAGCCCUGAGAUGAGUCAUCCCUGACCCCUUGAGGGUCCUAAAGGGCCGUUGGAGACCACAACGUUGAUAGGUGGGGUGUGUAAGUGCAGCGAUGCAUUGAGCUAACCCAUACUAAUUACCCGUGAGGCUUAACCAUACAACACCCAAGAAGUGUUCU
rnacentral:rRNA from 1 species